GAUCUAACAGAGCCCUGACAAAAACAAUCAAAGAGAAAAUGAACCAUGGCUUAUGACAAAGCAAAAAAAAUUAAAGGAAAAGGCUGCGCUUAACAAAAUGAGGGGAACUAUUGAAGAGCACGUACGUCGUUCAAAGGACGUCAUGUUGCUCAGGCCUAAAGACGCCAUGAUGAAACAGCUGAGAGACUUGAUGUCGGAUAUCCCGGGGAACUGGAGAGCACGAUGCAAGAAAUCAAUCAUGCCUGUCACUUGAGAACAUAUGGUGUUCCCAGUCCAUCC